CCGCCUNGGGGAGUACGGCCGCAAGGUUGAAACUCAAAGGAAUUGANCGGGGACCCGCCCAAGCGGUGGAUGAUGUGGUUNAAUUCGAUGCAACGCGAAAAACCUUACCUACCCCUGACAUGCCUGGAAUCCUGCAGAGAUGUGGGAGUGCUCGAAAGAGAACCAGGACACAGGUGCUGCAUGGCCGUCGUCAGUUCGUGUCGUGAGAUGUUGGGUUAAGUCCCGCAACGAGCGCAACCCUUGUCAUUAGUUGCUACGAAAGGGCACUCUAAUGAGACUGCCGGUGACAAACCGGAGGAAGGUGGGGAUGACGUCAGGUCCUCAUGGCCCUUAUGGGUAGGGCUACACACGUCAUACAAUGGCCGGUACAGAGGGCUGCCAACCCGCGAGGGGGAGCUAAUCCCAGAAAACCGGUCGUAGUCCGGAUCGCAGUNUGCAACUCGACUGCGUGAAGUCGGAAUCGCUAGUAAUCGCGGAUCAGCUUGCCGCGGUGAAUACGUUCCCGGGUCUUGUACACACCGCCCGUCACACCAUGGGAGCGGGUUCUGCCAGAAGUAGUUAGCCUAACCGCAAGGAGGGCGAUUACCACGGCAGGGUUCGUGACUGGGGUGAAGUCGUAACAAGGUAGCCGUAUCGGAAGGUGCGGCUGGAUCACCUCCUU
rnacentral:rRNA from 1 species